rnacentral:lncRNA from 1 species
UGUGUCAGCAAGUUCAGCGUGGGCCCCGUAUGCUGCCGUGGAUCUGAUCAGCUGAGGCCUGAGACACAGGACCAGGCUUUCUUGAUCAUGGAUGGUGAAGAUAUACCAGAUUUUUCAAGUUUAAAGGAGGAAACUGCUUAUUGGAAGGAACUUUCCUUGAAGUAUAAGCAAAGUAGGCGGGGCCAUCUUUGGCCCGUUUUGCAUGCACUGAUUCUGCCUCAUCAUUUUGGUCAUUUGGAGAUUCUGAUAAGCUGUCUGGGGCUCCAUAGAACAGACUUUACGUUCUCCUCAGCUUCCAGGAAGCUCGGGAUGAGCUAGUUGAAUUCCAGGAAGGAAGCAGAGAAUUAGAAGCAGAGUUGGAGGCACAAUUAGUACAGGCUGAACAAAGAAAUAGAGACUUGCAGGCUGAUAACCAAAGACUGAAAUAUGAAGUGGAGGCAUUAAAGGAGAAGCUAGAGCAUCAAUAUGCACAGAGCUAUAAGCAGGUCUCAGUGUUAGAAGAUGAUUUAAGUCAGACUCGGGCCAUUAAGGAGCAGUUGCAUAAGUAUGUGAGAGAGCUGGAGCAGGCCAACGACGA